UCUCUCUCUCUCUGGCCGCCUUCCCCCUCCCUUUCUUAAGAGACUGAACCGCUAGCUCUUUUUCCUUUUUCUUCUGGAUCUGAACAAAGACCUGGUUGGAACUGAAAGCCUCAAACCUUAGCUCAGAGUCUCCGUUGACACCCCCCACCACCACCAGUCCCAGGCAUAGCUGAUCCCAGGGGCUGACCCAGGCAGUUCCUCUGAUGUUCUGGGGCAAGGAUCCCAUGGAGGAGACUGGGUGCCACGGGGUCUUGGAUGUGAGCCUGGGAUGUAAAAGAAGGGAUAGGGACACCCAGAAAUGCUCAAGGGAUUCCCACUUGGUGAAUACUUUGUCACUUGGCCAAAGCUCCUUCUUUUCAAUGGCAGCACCUCCUCCCAUCUUUGUUGGGGUCUCAAAGAUUGGACUGGGUGGACUGUGGGGAGUCACGUGAAAGGCAUGGCCAGGGUUUGCAGAAGUGGGGUACCUGGGCUCUGUGCUGGAAUUGCUAUGGCCCAUAGGGCCUCUCUCCUACCCCAGUUCCCUCUAGGUGAUGUGGAACCAGAGGUCCAGUUGCUUCCCCACCCCACAAUGGUAACCCCAGGUAAAUUCUCCCAAGCAUCAGCUGUCCUCUCUGGACUCCCCCACCACCACAACUCCCACUUUUAUAAAGAGAGGCGCUUGAUUAGCCUGUUGGACUAGCCAGUGCCUCCCACACUUGCCUGGGCAAAGAACUCCCUGACCCUGUCCCCAGUCCCGCUUCCCAGCCUCCUGCCCCUGGAAACUGGAAUACUACAGUUUGAUGGGGGAAGCCUAAGAGUUGGACCUUUUACAUGCUGCCUUGGAGAUUCUUCAUAAUUUUGCAAAUAUUGAUGGUGCACUUAACUAUGUGCCAGCUUCUGUGCUAUUCUCCAGGGCUCCAGGGACAUGGCAAUGAUUGGCCCUUGGAGACCAAGGGAAUGGGAAGAUGCCUUCUGCUCAGAGCUACACUGCCAGAUCUUUGCUCCAUUAAACCCUCCCCCAGGCCCUACCUUGGGCAGUUGUUAGAUAGCCUCUGAGAAAAGGCCUGACCCCAGCCAGGAAGCUGCAAUCCCAGGCAUAGCUGAUCCCAGGGCUUAACCAGGCAGAAAAGCCACUAAGGAGCUUGGUGUUGCUGUUGUAACUUGUCCCAGCUCCUAGGGCUCCUGCCAGUUCAUUCCCUCUCUGACUUUCUGGAAAAAGUAUAAAAUAGCAGUCCUCACAGCAUCUCCCCAGCAUAUGCCCUCCCCACCCUCCUACGCCCACACGCCAGGGAUGCUGCAUCACUGCAGGGGAAGGUUCCAGAUCUGAAUAGGAUCCAUAGCCCUGAGAAAAGUCCAUUUCAGUGGUGACCAAGUUGGUAAAACAGGACCUGGUGGGGCACCUGGCCUUACCUUCCCAGGUACGUGGUCAUGAACCAUUACCUUCAUGCUUUCUGUUUUCCUCCCCUCCCUACUCCUCAGGAGUAUGGGUUCCCACCUGCUGCUGGCAGGGCUCUGGCAUCCAGCCUCACCACCAUGCUUUUACACCUGCCAGCCCUCUACCUGGAAGGCCCGUCCUGCAUCCUUUUUCCCUGGUAAACUCAGGGUCCUUAAGGAUACUUUUUGAAACUUUGGCCAGCAGCCCCUUCCUGCCCAUAGUGUGUUGCCAAGACCCCUGCACUGGCCACUACGAGUUGUCAUCUCUUCAUUGGUCUGCUCUACAGAACCGAGUUCCCAAAGGGCACCUGGGCAUUUCACAUAGGGCUUCUAGGCAAAGAGGUUUGGGGGAUGAAGGGAGAGAGAGGGCUGGCACAAGGCCAGGGCUCCUCAAGCACAGCUGCUCUGAUGGCUUCUCAAGGGAAGGGAGUCACAGAGAUCCAACAGCAUCUCACACCCUCCUGCACAAGCAUCCCAGGUGCUCUUCUGCCCUCCUGAGCCCAGGGAGCUGCACCAUGACUUCAUCUUGGCCUCUGGCUCAGGACUGGGCUCAGCAUCAAUGCUUAAGGAAGGGCUUGGGGCCCUGGAAUGGCUUUGGGAUGGCUGGAGAGGCAGCAUGGCACAUCCUCUUCCAGUGAUGCCCAACCAGCAGGCCUCUUGUCCUCUUAUCAGCACCACCUGGGAACAAACUGCCCUUAACCCCAUGAGACAUUUGGCAGGACCUCUCUGGGGCUCAGUUUCCCUGUCUGCAUCUUGGCUUCCCUCUCAGUUCUGGGAAGCAAGACAGGAGUGAGGUUUAGCUGUGGAUCUCUUUAUCGAAGCAAUUUUGAAGCCCAAAACACAGAGUGUUCCUCUCAGGUGUGAUGCCAGUCUGCCUAUCAUGUGCCAGGGCUGUGGGUUUGCAGCUGCAACAAAAGAUGGGACCUUUGCCCUCAUGGAGCUUACAGUCUGGUGGGGAGACUGGACAAAGAGAAGCAGGCAGAGGACAUGGCUCUGGCCUCCGUCUCCCUGCCCCACCUGCCCCACCUGCCCCAGUGCUGGUCAGCCCUCCAGUGGGGAGUGGAGCACCAGAGGAAGACCAAGGUGGCUCACUUAACCCUGGGGAAAGGCUGGUAACAAGGCUGUUGUUUGAUCUCCAUCUCAUACAAGAAGAGACUGAGACCCAAGGAAGACAGAGGCUUGUGUAGGGAGCUGACAAGGGUCACUUCAUAUGCCACAGGGUGGCUGCUCCAUUGGAGCCUUCUGUCUUCCUGCUGAGGCACAGAUAACCACAAACCACUUAAAAUUUAGCAUUUCAGCCCUUAGUCGCUCGAACCAUAUUUUAAUUACUUAGUGGCCCCUUGUAGUCAGUGGCCGCCAUAUCAGACAGCACAACUAUGGAACAUUUCCAUCAUCACAGAAAACUGUUCAUGCUACUCUAGAGCAGAGGUCUGUAAACUUCUGCGCCUCAUCUGGCCCACACCUACCUUAUAAAGUUGUAUGUACUGAACAAGCACGUUAUUUUGCAUAUUGCUUUUUUCAGAAAGUUCUGUUAGGGCUGCUCUAGGGCAGGGGUCAGCAAACUACAGCCUAUGCACCAAAUCUGGUCCACUACCCAUUUUAUAAAUAAGGGUCUUUUUAUAAUACAACCUGUUUAUUCACAUAUUGCCUGUUGGGGCUGCUCUCUGAACUACAGACUUCAUCUGGCCUAUAAAUCUGGCUGAAAAAUGUACUGCCUUGCCCUUUACAGAAAAUGUUUACUGAUCCCUCCUCUACAGAAAGUCUCAGAGCACAAUCUGACAACCAUUGGUCUAAAACUGAUUCUCAAAGUGCGGUCCCUGGACCAGGAGUAUCAGCAUCACCUGGGAAUACAAGUUCUCAGGCCCCAAUUCCAUCCUGGUGAAUCAGAAAUGCUGGAGUUGGGACCCAGGAAUCUGUCUUAGCCAGCCUGGUAUCCAAGUGAUCCUGAUGCAUGGAAAACCCCUGUUCUAAGACACCCAGGAUGUGCCAACAAGUGACUGGCACAGGAAGAGUGUUAAUGGGCUCCCCCUGGGUAACAAAAGAGUUUGAAGGAAAUGUCAGGAGAGUGAUAACCCAUCCACUGCCUAAUCCCUUUGCAGCAAAGCCUUGACAGGGCUUCCACAGAGGCUGUGCCCUGGCAGAGAGCUACCCGCGAUGCCCAGGCCCCGCCCCCCGCCGCCUGUGUGCCCCGCCCUCCGCCGCGUUGUUAGCACAUUGAAGCAGCCGCUGCGCAUAAAUUCAUGGACCAGCUGUCUCUUUUAAUCUGGUCGCAAGAUGAAACCAUUAAUAGAUGUCAGACACAUUGGCAAUGAUCUCUUCAUUAAUAAUUUCCUCCUUUCUGAGGAAAAAAAAAUUAGUAACAAGCAACCAUCAAUAAUUCAGAAAUACAAGUUAACCUUUCUAUUAGCAGAGUCACUGUGUGCACACUGCUCACUCUUUCCAGAGCCAGAAGUUCUGGCUUGAGUAAUGUUUUGAUGGCAGGAAUAUUAAUAUGCAUUAAUGCUGUCUGUCAAGACCCGCAAAUAUAAAUAACCCAAAUGCAACUUAGAAAUCAUAAGUAUGUUUCCAGUUUAACCUCAUGAUCCAGCCAUUUUGUUCUAUAAAGGCAUGCAUUAUCCAAUAAUAUUGCUCUGUCCAAAAGCAGGACUUGACAAAGGAAUCCAUUUUCGGUGGUUAUGCUGAACUAACACUACUGCUCUGGACUUCCUUCCCUUCAAAGCUGGCUCUUCUCUCUGGGACACACAGAAAGAGCCUGGACGCAUUUUCAAGUGACCUGCAUUUGGAUGUUGAAUGUGCUCCCAGUAGAUGUUCCAACUCCUAACUCCCUUUCUGGUCCUAUUUGUAUGUGAUUUUUCAGGCCCACGACACCUGGUUCCUCUUCCCUGCCGUGCUCCAUUUUGGAAACACCCCUAUUCUAGAGGGGUUUGUGCCUGCCCAUUCCUUGCACUUCCAUUCACCACCCAAAUGACCACAAACUAGCCACUUUCCCUCUCCAAAUCUGUUUCCCCAUCUGUGAAAUUGGAGUGAUUAUCCCCACCUCAGUGAGCUGAUGUGGGAAUUAAGUGAGUUAAUGGAUGUAAACACCUAGAAUAGGGCCUGCACCAUUCGGGAGAUUAUUUCCUGUCCUUUCUUCCUACUCCAAGUCUUAGUUUCACCAUGCCACUCCAGCCUUGGCUCCAGGCCAUCUCUCCUAGACACCUGGAACGCAGCUCGGCAGGGACGGCCAGCUGCUCCUCCUUGGGCCAAAACACCAGCCCAUGGUCCAAACGAUUGGCAAGUGGACCUCAGUGUCUGGAGUAUCCUGAAUUUAAUGCGAGGACUGCCUCUUGCCCAAGUGGAAUCUGUCGAGCAGCUGUUUCUUUUAAUUAAAAAAAGAAACUAAGUGAUGUGUAGCAAGCACACCCCCAUGGAUGUUUGCACGCCUCUUGGAAUGUCAAGUUAAAGUAACCCCAUCCCAGACAAAUUCACAAUCGACCCACACUGAGAGAUCACACCAGUGCACACUGGGAAUAGGAUGGUGUUAGUGUCGCAGUUGGAAUGACAGACGUCAAAUAUGAUUGACAUAAGGCCCCACCCUUUGCUCCUUGCUUCCAGCAAAGUGGCUUCUCUGAGAAAGAGAAAAGCCACUAUUCUUGCAGUCACCUAGUGCCUGGAAGUGGGACACAUGCUUUUUCAGCACUGAGGUCCCCCCAAGACUCUCAGCCCUUCUCCCAAUCCCUCACUCCAAAAUGGAUUCUAGAAGGUUCCAAGUCAGAAUGGACUCAUUACUGUGAGAUGAGGUGAACCAUUGCUCCUCCCCGUGCCCUGAAAUGACCUGAACUCCACCUUCAACUCCUGGCUGCCUCCAGAAUCAUCCUAUUCAACCCCUUUUCACACACAGAAGCCAGAGUGUUUAUGAUACUCACUCCACAACCUAUCACUCACUUAGAGCCCACAUUGAUGCCCCACUACCCAUGGCAUGAAGUCCACAGUCCUUAUCCAACAAGACCCUCCACUGGCUGUGCCCAGCCUUCCCUUCUAUGCCGAUCCCCUCCCUAAUUCUCCUUAGUUCCAGCCCAGGGAAGUCCUCACUAGGUAAAGAAGGAAAGAAGGGCAUUCCGUUGGCCACACUCCAUUCAUACACGCUCUUUUCUCCAAGCCACUCAGGACAACUCACCCUUGUCUCCUUCGGGGACUUUGACAGGAAUGCCAGGUUCAAAAUCCAUACCCUUCCUUGUCCACAUCCAGGCAUCUAAGCCAUUAUCCAUCAAGGCUGGACUUUGGGCAGUGUCCACGGGCUGGACUGUAGUGGCCUGGAUGAAGACUGAGUUCCUUUCCAUUUGUAUCAUUUGCAGAUCUUCAUUCUCCACAAAGGUGGUAGUCUUGAGGGUGCCCGGACUGUCUUACAAAACCUCGUGUUCCCAAAGCCAAGCCCCAGUAUGGCAUACAUCAGGCACUCAGGAAAUGUUGCUUAAGAUGAAGGUCAAUUUUUUUUGUCUCAUCCAGGAUGAGUUCUUUUCAAACAGAAGGGAGGUAACCCAUUUGUUAAGAGCUAUGGGGAGACCCAGUCCUAAGAGAGGAUCCAAAAAAAAAAAAAGGCUCUUGGGGGUGUAGGAAGAGACAUAGUAGUGAUGGGCUCAUCACUGUGGAUUCGCCACAGAGGGCUUGGAGCCUUUAGUGGCCUGUCUGCCAGAGGUGCAGAGCCGCCUCCAGGUGGAUGGGGUCGGCCUCUCCCUCCCCUUCCACCCCUUCUUUCCUAACCCCCCCCCCUCUCCACAUCUCAGCUGCAUUUCCAUCAGUAGUCAGAAAAAUUGGAUAAUGACACCAUAUACAGUUCUCCCAUCUUAGCACCCUCAGUAAAAGAUGAGACCUUCUGCAGCAUCCUCCCCAACUCUAUCCAGAGAAAGACCCAGUAAAGACACAGAGGGGCUGAUCUGGUUCACAUUCCAUUUCCUGAACUAAUCGAUUUGGUUCAGGAAGGGAAGGGAUAGGUAUCUAAUUGACCAGCCGAGGUCAUUGUUCACUUCUCUCCGAUGAGGACGGUCACCACAACUGACAAUCCUGCAAAGACAGAAUGGAGUCGCGAGGUGUAUUUCUUCCCAGUGGUUUUACCCAGUCCAGUAUUAUCUGCCCACCUCACUUAGGAGACAGAACAUUGCUGAGGCCCUUCAGUAAGUGGUCUGGAGACCUAACCAGUUAGCCAAGUUCUGUCCUCUACCUACCUCCUCCUCCUCUCACCUAACACGUGUUCCAACCCCUCACACCCACAUAGACUCUGUGUUUUGUACACACAGCCACCCUUUCGUCUUCAUCAAAGCACAAAUGCUGUUCUCAAAACAUUUCCAAUCAGCCAGAAAUUCCAUAGCUAAUCCAGUGGCAUAAAUACUCCUAGUUCCUUAAGUUUCUGAAAACGGUAUCUGCUUAAGAAGUAUUUUGUGACACUCCAUAGAAGAACAUUUCAUCAAAUUCCUAGCAGUGAGCAUCAGCCCCCAGAAUCCCCUUCACCCCUCCACAGAACAGAGCUGGGGAGAUGGCAGAGGACCCUGGAGCCCACUGAGAUUAUUCAGGGGCAUAAUGGUCCAGACUGCACACAUUUAUCCAAGCCAUUCUCAUGUUGACAAGUCGUUAUUUCUACAAGCCAAAAAAAAUGUUAUAAACUUAAGGCAGGAUGAGAGUUUGUUGAAAUGAAUGUGAAGAAUGGAGGGUACAAACCUGGCAUGGAAAACCACGGAAAACACCACCUGGGAACACAGCAUCUGUUGUACCUGGAUGCCGGUCUCCAGAGUGGCACAAUUUGGGGUCGGUUUGAGGACAGAAUGUGCCUGUGCUUGCAGGAGGGGCUGACGGGUAUGGGGAAGGUGCAAGGGAAAUCCUUUACCCACAACACAGUACAGCCCUGUCUGCCCUUGAAGCUUAAAGAUUGAUGAUUCUGGGGAUUUUUUCACUUUGGUUUUGCUUCUACCUCUGGAGUGUUUGAACUCAGAGAUUUUGAGCGCUGACUCUGAGCCGUGAGCAGCUACAGGCCUCAUGUGCAUCACCAACCCUAUGAUUCUCACGUAUAGAUAAGGAAACUGAGGCACAGGGAGGUCUGUCAAUUUGUGAUCAGUAUUGGCUUUAGAUUUCAUAUUCCUUUCAACCACUCCUGUACAUGUUAGUGUCACUGUAAUUGUGUCUCCCAAUCCUGGACCAACAAUACCAGAAUCAUCAGGGAACUUCAAGUCCAUCCAUCUCAAAACCCUUUUUGUUUUACAGACAUUUCAAUAGAGCUUGGCCAGUAAGCAAAAAUAAAUAGGGUUCGGUUUACCCAGAAGCCAGAUCCCAUGUAAUAAGUUCUGGGAUAUGUUUUCCCGAGAGCAGGAGAACGUACGUACACUUGUAGUUUGGUCUCAUUUUGUUUUUUCUUAGUCUGUACCUUCCCUAGGAACCAUGGACAGAUGGUUCAUGGACAUCAUAUAUCCCCUAAACAGUCCUCAAAUUGACAAAGAUGAUGCUAUCCCAGUGCCCACGUGGAGUCAAACCCCCGCUUCAGGAGACCAGACCCCUGUAGACUUCUUGUUUCCUAGGAGAAGAACACUAACGGCCCCUGAUAGCUUUUAAGUGAAAUGCCUGGAAUUUUGCAAGCUCUUAAUAAUCAAACUUCUCAACUCUGAUAGGAUUCAAAGUAAUCAGCCAUUGACAAAUGUUAAAUAUUUCCUUGUUGCUAAUAAUGCCUCUCCCCUUUCCCUUUUUUCCCUCCUCUAACCUUUCUAACAUGAAUUUAUUUUCCAUUUGAAAGCCAAUCUCACUGGUUAUUAGAUAUUCCCCCUGCUGUCACUAUCAGUAAAUUAUUAAACAGCUGACCAAGCUUUGUUUUAAAAUGAUUCUCUUAUGAAGCUCGGUGAUACAUUUGCCAUGAAUACCGAAUGGCGCCGCCGUCUCUAAGGACGCGUGAAUGAUUCCUAUUUACUACCUUUAGCGAAGUGUGUGUGCAAUUAGUAGCAAGAACUUGACUUGAAUCACAGCAGAGGUGGCCGAAGCUCAUUUCCAUGGAGCUCUUUCCCCUCAUUACACUCCAUCCUGGGAGAAGGAUGUGAAGCUUCGGGGCCAUGUCACAAGAUAGCACAUGUACCUGCUUUUUGUCAUUCCUCACCUCCUUUCUGGUCUUGCUACCCCUGAGCCUCAACAUACCUGGGGGAAUCCCUUCCUUCCUUAAUGGAGCAGUUGGCUCUGGAUGAGAUUCAUUUAAAGAAAAGAAAGCUGAUUGGGAUUAAAACUACUUAACCUGUUUGUAUUUUUCACUUUCUCAUCUAUAGAAUGGAGCUCACAAGCUCUACCCCCUGGAUUCCAUCAUGAAAGCAAAGUGCUGAGCACAAUACCUGGCAUCUAGUAAAUGCACAGGAGCUGGUAGCUACUGGUUUCCUAUUGACUACUACAUUGGUCCAGAUUCUCCAGGUCGAAAGCAACAGAAAUGGUCUCCACUUCGCUUAAGCUAAGGAGAAAAUGUGUUGGCUCACCUAAUCCAAUAGCAGUUGGUCACUCGGGGUCGAACCUAGAAACUGCUUCAAGUAUUGACCACGGAGGCAUUUGAUGCAGGAAAUUGGCUACACAGAUGAUGAAGGAGUUGAGAGAAGGAAGGCAGCCUUGGUCCCAGGAUGAAGAAGACAUGGAGCAGAGAGUGUCUUGCCAAUUCAUAAUGGGCACACAGUGUGAGCUGAUAAAUAAACCUUUGUUUUAAGCCACGGCAA